rnacentral:rRNA from 1 species
CGCUGACGACCGGCGAACGGGUGCGUAACGCGUAUAGAAUCUGCCUUGUACAGGAGGAUAGCCUUUAGAAAUGAAGAUUAAUACUCCAUAAUACUGAGAUGUGGCAUCACAAUUUAGUUAAAGAUUUAUCGGUACAAGAUGACUAUGCGUCCUAUUAGCUAGAUGGUAAGGUAACGGCUUACCAUGGCAACGAUAGGUAGGGGGUCUGAGAGGAUUAUCCCCCACACUGGUACUGAGACACGGACCAGACUCCUACGGGAGGCAGCAGUGAGGAAUAUUGGUCAAUGGAGGCAACUCUGAACCAGCCAUGCCGCGUGCAGGAAGACUGCCCUAUGGGUUGUAAACUGCUUUUAUACAGGAAGAAACAGUCGUACGAGUACGACCUUGACGGUACUGUAAGAAUAAGCACCGGCUAACUCCGUGCCAGCAGCCGCGGUAAUACGGAGGGUGCAAGCGUUAUCCGGAAUCAUUGGGUUUAAAGGGUCCGCAGGCGGUCAAUUAAGUCAGAGGUGAAAUCCCAUAGCUUAACUAUGGAACUGCCUUUGAUACUGGUUGACUUGAGUUAUACGGAAGUAGAUAGAAUAAGUAGUGUAGCGGUG